rnacentral:rRNA from 1 species
UACGAAGGGGGCUAGCGUUGCUCGGAAUCACUGGGCGUAAAGCGCACGUAGGCGGAUUGUUAAGUCAGGGGUGAAAUCCUGGAGCUCAACUCCAGAACUGCCUUUGAUACUGGCGAUCUUGAGUCCGGGAGAGGUGAGUGGAACUUCGAGUGUAGAGGUGAAAUUCGUAGAUAUUCGCAAGAACACCAGUGGCGAAGGCGGCUCACUGGCCCGGUACUGACGCUGAGGUGCGAAAGCGUGGGGAGCAAACAGG